rnacentral:rRNA from 1 species
AUUGAACGCUGGCGGCAGGCCUAACACAUGCAAGUCGAGCGGAUGACGGGAGCUUGCUCCUUGAUUCAGCGGCGGACGGGUGAGUAAUACCUAGGAAUCUGCCUGAUAGUGGGGGACAACGUUUCGAAAGGAACGCUAAUACCGCAUACGUCCUACGGGAGAAAGCAGGGGACCUUCGGGCCUUGCGCUAUCAGAUGAGCCUAGGUCGGAUUAGCUAGUUGGUGAGGUAAUGGCUCACCAAGGCGACGAUCCGUAACUGGUCUGAGAGGAUGAUCAGUCACACUGGAACUGAGACACGGUCCAGACUCCUACGGGAGGCAGCAGUGGGGAAUAUUGGACAAUGGGCGAAAGCCUGAUCCAGCCAUGCCGCGUGUGUGAAGAAGGUCUUCGGAUUGUAAAGCACUUUAAGUUGGGAGGAAGGGCAGUAAGCUAAUACCUUGCUGUUUUGACGUUACCGACAGAAUAAGCACCGGCUAACUCUGUGCCAGCCGCCGCGGUAA